CGCCGCGCUGCAGGGCGUGCCCCGCUCCGCCCGCCCCGUCGGGUACGGCGCAGCUCGGGCGGGCGGAGCGGCACCGGGAUGCUCCUACCGCGGCG
ensembl:miRNA gga-mir-1576 gga-mir-1576